GCUGGGUGUGGUGGUGUAUACCUGUAAUCCCGGUGGCUGGGAAGGCUGAGGCAGGAGAAUCAUGAGUUCAAAGGCAGCCUCAGCAACUUAGCAAGACCUUAAGUAACUUGGUGAGACCCUCUCUCUA
rnacentral:sRNA from 1 species